ACUCUCCUUCAUUUUCAUCAUAUAAAACUAAGCACAUGGACGACGACCCUUUUGGAUUUCCUCCAUAACCCAAAAAAAAAGCGUUAUCUCUUUCUUGUGAGCAGCGAGCUCAAUGGCUUGCAGGCUUGCAGAUUCAUUUAUCCUAUUCAAGGGCUCUCAUCAGAAGCCACUUCAGAGUAAAAGGGCCAUUAUUGCCCAAUAUUCACCACGUGUAUGUAAUCUUAAGGAAUGCGGGCUUAUCCAAAAAGGGUUUAGGCAUCGUUUGAACUUUGUCCCUAGGAAGAAAGUUACUGUCAUACAAGCUGUGGCGGUUCCGCUUGAACCAUCUCCGGUUGAGAGUGCUGAGUACAGAAAACAACUAGCUGAAAGCUAUGGUUUUAGGCAAAUUGGAGAGCCACUGCCGGAUGAUAUUACUUUGAAGGAUGUCAUUGAUUCCCUUCCUAAGAAGGUCUUCGAGAUUGACGAUACAAAGGCAUGGAAAACAGUAUUGAUAUCUGUUGCUUCCUAUGCAUUGGGGCUCUUUAUGAUUUCCAAAGCACCUUGGUACCUACUUCCUCUGGCUUGGGCAUGGACAGGGACUGCAGUAACUGGGUUCUUUGUUAUAGGCCACGACUGUGCUCACAAAUCAUUCUCAAAGAACAAAUUGGUCGAGGAUAUUGUUGGAACUCUAGCUUUCUUGCCACUAAUUUAUCCAUAUGAGCCAUGGCGAUUUAAGCAUGACAGACACCAUGCAAAGACGAACAUGUUGUAUGAAGAUACUGCUUGGCACCCAGUUUGGAAAGAUGAGUUUGAUUCAUCUCCUGCUUUGCGGAAUGCAAUAAUAUAUGGGUAUGGUCCAUUUCGGACUUGGAUGUCUAUAGCUCACUGGUUGAUGUGGCACUUUGAUUUGAAGAAGUUCAGGACAAAUGAAGUAAAGAGGGUCAAGAUAAGUUUAGCUUGUGUGUUUGCCUUUAUGGCAAUUGGAUGGCCGUUAAUUAUUUAUAAGACAGGAAUCAUGGGGUGGAUCAAAUUCUGGUUCAUGCCGUGGCUGGGGUAUCAUUUCUGGAUGAGUACUUUCACCAUGGUACACCAUACUGCACCGCACAUACCCUUCAAAUACUCAGAAAACUGGAAUGCUGCCCAAGCACAGCUUAAUGGAACUGUUCAUUGUGAUUAUCCCCAGUGGAUCGAGAUUCUAUGCCACGAUAUUAAUGUCCAUAUUCCGCACCACAUAUCCCCAAGAAUACCAAGCUAUAAUUUACGAGCAGCCCACAAGUCUUUACAAGAAAACUGGGGAAAGUAUCUGAAUGAGGCUAGUUGGAACUGGAGACUGAUGAAGACAAUCAUGACAGUGUGUCAUGUGUAUGAUAAACAACAAAACUAUGUUGCCUUCGACGAACUUGCCCCUGAAGAUUCCCGUCCAAUUACAUUUUUGAAGGAAGUCAUGCCUGAUUAUGCUUGAUUAGGUCCUAGCUGGCCCUUGUUAAAUGAAUUUUAUGUGUCAAUAGUUAGGUAUGGCAUCCAUUUUUUUCUCCAUGUCCCUUCUUGUUGUAUAUGGUGCAAAUUUUUUCAAUCACAUAUGAUUAUAUACCAAGUUAGAGAAAAUUGCUUGGAUCAUGUACCCAAGUUGCGGAUUAUCUGAACGCAAGCAAGCACCCUCUAAGAGGGUAUCUCUAUUGUUUGAAAAUUUCUAAGUGGAACCAUCUUCUAAACAUAAAACAAGCAUUUCCUUGUGAAGAAACCAAGGGUGCUCCGUCAAAACUAUUAGUCUGCCAAAUAAUAUUAAGAGUAAACAGCAAAUAAGUCCUUGAUAUUUUAUC